AAGUCAUGUUGAGGAUAAUUUUUCGAAAGUCCCUUGUAUCUUUCACAAGCUUCGAAUAAGGAUUCAUCGAUUUCUUGUUGGAAAUUAGAAAUCUCUUUUUAAGUUU